GACGAACGCUGGCGGCGUGCUUAACACAUGCAAGUCGAACGCUGAAGCCCUUUCGGGGGUGGAUGAGUGGCGAACGGGUGAGUAACACGUGGGUAAUCUGCCCUGUACUUCGGGAUAAGCCUUGGAAACGGGGUCUAAUACCGGAUAGGACAUGUCACCGCAUGGUGGUGUGUGGAAAGUUCCGGCAGUAUGGGAUGAGCCCGCGGCCUAUCAGCUUGAUGGUGGGGUGAUGGCCUACCAUGGCGACGACGGGUAGCCGGCCUGGGAGGGUGACCGGCCACACUGGGACUGAGACACGGCCCAGACUCCUACGGGAGGCAGCAGUGGGGAAUCUUGCGCAAUGGGCGAAAGCCUGACGCAGCAACGCCGCGUGAGGGAGGACGGCCUUCGGGUUGUAAACCUCUUUCGACACCGACGAAGGCCCAUGUGGGUUUGACGGUAGGUGUGGAAGAAGCACCGGCUAACUACGUGCCAGCCGCCGCAGUAA
rnacentral:rRNA from 1 species